rnacentral:rRNA from 1 species
CACGUAGGGUGCGAGCGUUUGUCCGGAAUUAUUGGGCGUAAAGAGCUCGUAGGCGGUGUGUCGCGUCGGCCGUGAAAACCUGCAGCUUAACUGUGGGCUUGCGGUCGAUACGGGCAUCACUGGAGUUCGGCAGGGGAGACUGGAAUUCCUGGUGUAGCGGUGAAAUGCGCAGAUAUCAGGAGGAACACCGGUGGGCGAAGGC